ensembl:lncRNA
UUCUUUAGGCUAAUUUAUUCGUGCAGUUAAAUGCUGAUGAACAGCAAAGAAUGCAUCAAUCUGCACUUCAAUUAACAGUGCUAAACAUUUCCAGUUUGGGUGCUUUUAUUUUAGAUAAUAAAGCUGUGUGUCAUAUUACACCAAUGUUAUUACAAGUGUGCAUCCGGAUUGGGAUUUCAUGGGAUACAGCAAAAAUGACGGCAGGUAUUUACUCCUAUGACAUGUGGGCAAGACUCUGCAGUCAGAUAUGAAGCUUCUGAAACAAAGAGGCAUAUUUAUCAACAUGGAGCAUACUGGAUGCAUACUUAUGCAUUUACCACAUAAAUUAUGCUGGAUGAUAUUCAGUGGUGGUGGGAUUGGUAAGAAUUCCUUCAGGAGCAGGUGGGAUUGGUAAUUCCUUGAGGAGCAGGUGGGAUUGGUCAGAAUUCCUUCAGGAGCAGGUAGGAUUGGUAAGCAUUCCUUCUGGAGAGGUUGGGAUUGGUCAGAAUUCCUUCUGGAGAGGGUGGGAUUGGUCAGAAUUCCUUCAGGAGAAGGUGCGAUUCAAGGGUGUAUCCAUCAAUUAGUUUAUUUAGUCAAGUUAGGAAUUUAGAGUGGGAGUUUAUGUGGUUAACAUGAAGUGUGGUUAGGCCUAUUCAACCUCUGUGGAAACAAAAGGAAUAUUAAAACAAUAGUUUAAGAGAUUUUACCUUAGCAGAGUCCUCUUACCUUUAUGGUCCUCCACUUGUACCAUCACAAAUCAUAUAAGAAAAGUGAAAAAAUGUACAUUAUUAGCUGAUGUAAGUGUUUCUAUCACUAUGCAAGCCUAUCAUCAAUAUCAGUUAAGAUGCUAGAUCUGUUAGAAAAAUAUUAGCAUUUCCAUAAUACAAUGAAUUAAGUAAGUAUAAUCAAAAUUGGCUCAAUACUUGUUUAGGGAAACAUUUCUAUCAGAUAUGUACACAGUGUCAGACAAAAAUAGCCAAAAAAAGAAA